AUUGAACGCUGGCGGCAUGCUUUACACAUGCAAGUCGAACGGUAACAGGCCUUCGGGCGCUGACGAGUGGCGAACGGGUGAGUAAUGCAUCGGAACGUGCCCAGUCGUGGGGGAUAACGCAGCGAAAGCUGUGCUAAUACCGCAUACGAUCUGCGGAUGAAAGCGGGGGACCUUCGGGCCUCGCGCGAUUGGAGCGGCCGAUGUCAGAUUAGGUAGUUGGUGGGGGAAAGGCUCACCAAGCCAACGAUCUGUAGCUGGUCUGAGAGGACGGCCAGCCACACUGGGACUGAGACACGGCCCAGACUCCUACGGGAGGCAGCAGUGGGGAAUUUUGGACAAUGGGCGCAAGCCUGAUCCAGCAAUGCCGCGUGCAGGAAGAAGGCCUUCGGGUUGUAAACUGCUUUUGUACGGAGCGAAAAGGCUCCCUCUAAUACAGGGGGCUCAUGACGGUACCGUAAGAAUAAGCACCGGCUAACUACGUGCCAGCAGCCGCCGUAACAC
rnacentral:rRNA from 1 species